rnacentral:rRNA from 1 species
GCUAAUACCGUAUAACAGAGAAAACCGCAUGGUUUUCUUUUAAAAGAUGGCUCUGCUAUCACUUCUGGAUGGACCCGCGGCGUAUUAGCUAGUUGGUGAGGUAAAGGCUCACCAAGGCAGUGAUACGUAGCCGACCUGAGAGGGUAAUCGGCCACAUUGGGACUGAGACACGGCCCAGACUCCUACGGGAGGCAGCAGUAGGGAAUCUUCCACAAUGGACGCAAGUCUGAUGGAGCAACGCCGCGUGAGUGAAGAAGGGUUUCGGCUCGUAAAGCUCUGUUGUUAAAGAAGAACGUGGGUAAGAGUAACUGUUUACCCAGUGACGGUAUUUAACCAGAAAGCCACGGCUAACUACGUGCCAGCAGCCGCGGUAAUACGUAGGUGGCAAGCGUUAUCCGGGAUUUAUUGGGCGUAAAGCGAGCGCAGGCGGUCUUUUAAGUCUAAUGUGAAAGCCUUCGGCUCAACCGAAGAAGUGCAUUGGAAACUGGGAGACUUGAGUGCAGAAGAGGACAGUGGAACUCCAUGUGUAGCGGUGAAAUGCGUAGAUAUAUGGAAGAACACCAGUGGCGAAGGCGGCUGUCUGGUCUGCAACUGACGCUGAGGCUCGAAAGCAUGGGUAGCGAACAGGAUUAGAUACCCUGGUAGUCCAUGCCGUAAACGAUGAUUACUAAGUGUUGGAGGGUUUCCGCCCUUCAGUGCUGCAGCUAACGCAUUAAGUAAUCCGCCUGGGGAGUACGACCGCAAAGGUUGAAACUCAAAAAGAAUUGACGGGGGCCCGCACAAGCGGUGGAGCAUGUGGUUUAAUUCGAAGCUACGCGAAGAACCUUACCAGGUCUUGACAUCUUCUGACAGUCUAAGAGAUUAGAGGUUCCCUUCGGGGACAGAAUGACAGGUGGUGCAUGGUUGUCGUCAGCUCGUGUCGUGAGAUGUUGGGUUAAGUCCCGCAACGAGCGCAACCCUUAUUACUAGUUGCCAGCAUUAAGUUGGGCACUCUAGUGAGACUGCCGGUGACAAACCGGAGGAAGGUGGGGACGACGUCAAAUCAUCAUGCCCCUUAUGACCUGGGCUACACACGUGCUACAAUGGAUGGUACAACGAGUCGCGAAACCGCGAGGUUAAGCUAAUCUCUUAAAACCAUUCU